rnacentral:lncRNA from 1 species
AGACAGGGAGAAAUCCUGAAGAGGGUGGGUUCGCGCAAUCUGCCUCUUUCCUCCAGGCGUCAGACACCACUGACCACCAGGCCAGGAGGGGGAUCCUUCUGUCCUAUGAAGAAGCAUCGCUCUCCUGCAGGCUGUGUGGAGAGCCAGAAGCUUGCUUCUGCCAGGCUAGGCAGGCUCUGCAUGGAAGUCCAUGGAUGGAUAGAGCAUUGCCCACCAUCGUGGGAGCUUCACCAUGGUUCCCUACAACCCUGAAAGACAAACAACACCUCUCACCGUCGCUCCCUCUGCUGGGCCAUUGGAGCAUAGACUAACAGGAGAUCAGAAGCCAUUGUUUCUUAG